rnacentral:rRNA from 1 species
CCUACGGGGGGCAGCAGUGGGGAAUAUUGCACAAUGGGCGCAAGCCUGAUGCAGCCAUGCCGCGUGUGUGAAGAAGGCCUUCGGGUUGUAAAGCACUUUCAGCGGGGAGGAAGGCGUUAAGGUUAAUAACCUUGUCGAUUGACGUUACCCGCAGAAGAAGCACCGGCUAACUCCGUGCCAGCAGCCGCGGUAAUACGGAGGGUGCAAGCGUUAAUCGGAAUUACUGGGCGUAAAGCGCACGCAGGCGGUCUGUCAAGUCGGAUGUGAAAUCCCCGGGCUCAACCUGGGAACUGCAUUCGAAACUGGCAGGCUAGAGUCUUGUAGAGGGGGGUAGAAUUCCAGGUGUAGCGGUGAAAUGCGUAGAGAUCUGGAGGAAUACCGGUGGCGAAGGCGGCCCCCUGGACAAAGACUGACGCUCAGGUGCGAAAGCGUGGGGGGCAAACAGGAUUAGAUACCCGGGUAGUC